ACGGGUGAGUAAUGCAUCGGGAUCUACCUCAACGUGGGGGAUAACGUAGGGAAACUUACGCUAAUACCGCAUACGUCCUACGGGAGAAAGCAGGGGACCUUCGGGCCUUGCGCGGUGAGACGAACCGAUGUUCGAUUAGCUAGUUGGUAGGGUAAUGGCCUACCAAGGCGACGAUCGAUAGCUGGUCUGAGAGGAUGAUCAGCCACACUGGAACUGAGACACGGUCCAGACUCCUACGGGAGGCAGCAGUGGGGAAUAUUGGACAAUGGGCGCAAGCCUGAUCCAGCAAUGCCGCGUGUGUGAAGAAGGCCCUCGGGUUGUAAAGCACUUUUAUCAGGAACGAAAUACCACGGGUUAAUACCCUAUGGGGCUGACGGUACCUGAGGAAUAAGCACCGGCUAACUUCGUGCCAGCAGCCGCGGUAAUACGAAGGGUGCAAGCGUUAAUCGGAAUUACUGGGCGUAAAGGGUGCGUAGGCGGUUGUUUAAGUCUGUCGUGAAAUCCCCGGGCUCAACCUGGGAAUGGCGAUGGAUACUGGACAGCUAGAGUGUGUCAGAGGAUGGUGGAAUUCCCGGUGU
rnacentral:rRNA from 1 species